CGCCCACCAGUAUAAUGCGGGCAUACCUUUCAGUUUUUCAUUUCAUGUUCUAGGCGCCCACCAGUAUAAUGCGGGAAUACAUUUCUGUCUUUUCAUUUCAUGUCCUCGGUCGCCCACCAGUAUAAUGCGGGCAUACCUUUCAGUUUUUCAUUUCAUGUCCUAGGCGCCCACCAGUAUAAUGCGGGCAUACCUUUCAGUUUUUCAUUUCAUGUCCUAGGCGCCCACCAGUAUAAUGCGGGAAUACAUUUCUGUCUUUUCAUUUCAUGUCCUCGUUCGCCCACCAGUAUAAUGCGGGCAUACCUUUCAGUUUUUCAAUUCAUGUCCUAGGCGCCCACCAGUAUAAUGCGGGAAUACAUUUCUGCUUUUCAUUCAUGUUCUUGGUCGCCCACCAGUAUAAUGCGGGCAUACAUUUCAUAUUUUGCACUCAGGCGCCCACCUGUAUAACGAGAGGAAU
rnacentral:lncRNA from 1 species